rnacentral:lncRNA from 1 species
ACAGUCGGCUUUCUAUGCCAUAUUGCCAAGAGCUCUGAGAAUGAUGAACCAAGUAAAUGCUUUAUUUAGGGCUAAGUGAGCUGCGGAUCCCUCCAGCCUGACAGCGUUUCAGCCUGCAGAGUAAGACAGCAGCAGCAACAGAAGCAGCAGAGGCAGCAGCAACAGCAGCAGCCCCUUGCUCAAGUCCAGCAGGGGAGACUUGAUCUCUGGUUAGUCUUGGAACUCUGCCUGUGGAUCGUGCACUGUCCAGGGUCCUGAAAUAUGAACCAAACAGCCAGUGUGUCCCAUCACAUCAAGUGUCAGCCCUCCAAGACCAUCAAGAGUUAAGGACAAAGAUUAAACCACUGUAGUCCAUUUUGACACUUGGGAUACUUUAAAUGAGAAUUAGGGCUGCUGAAGAGAUUUUGGACAGAAAUACUGUACUUUCUAACAUGAAUAUGGCAAAGUCACCUCCAGUAUAGAUCUCCCUUCUCUCCCCUCAGUCCAGCUGUGUUGAGAGAGAUACACCUGUCAAAGCCUUUGAAAGGGUCAACACCCAGAAGAGUGGUGUCUCAAAGUUCUGGAGUUUGUGGAAAUAUAUAAAACUUAUGAGAAUAUUUUAUGUAUCUAUUUUAUGUUCUUAAACAAACUGGUAUGUUUUAUACUCUAAAAGUUCCAGACAUUGAUAAAAUGCACAUUAAACGUAUCGAUCCACCCCUAGCUUCCUAUCAAACCACUCAAGUAGUCCUAGUCAUCCACCCUCGAGCUUCAUGUCCUUUUAUUUGUUUAUUUUUGGCGUUAAUACUCCUGAGUUCAAAGAAUGCUGCACAUAUACAUGCAGCUGUGUGGCCAAGCACUGGUGCAUGGGAAACCUACUAGCAGACAGAGGAGAGUGAUGUUUCCUUCUUAGCAGCUCUCUCUAUAGGGGUGCUGCCUCAGAGGUGCCUGCACAUCUGAGUUGAAAUGUUAUUGGCUUUAUUUUGUGCAGGCAGCCACGCCUGCUGUGAGUUGACACUUGGAACAGCCAGGCCAUGGCCAGAAGUCUUUAUUUCACAGAUCUCCUUUCUAUAUGCCAGCUCCUACACUCUUUCUAGUCCCUCAGGUGUGAGCUUUCUUGAGCCCAGGAUGGUAGGAGGUUAAUGUAGAUGGUCCAUGCAUAGCUAAGCUCUCUGAGUUAUAUAUGAUUGUCACUUCGAGCAGGAUGAGUUUCUUAAUUAACGAUUUACCCACUGCAAAAGCUAAAACAAAUAAAACUUAAUUUUAGACUAAAUCUACGAGCAACAAAAGUCUCCUUGAGGCUCCAGAUUCCAAUGCCCAGGUUUUAGAAUUUGCGUGCUGUGUGCCCUGCUAGACUCUGACUGUCUUCCUGGGUGGACAAUUUUUACUUGGAUGAGUACAUUUUAAUAAAUGAUUGUAAAGAGAAGACCCCCUUUAAACCAAAAAUUAUAACUUUUCAAGAAUU